CAAGACAGGAAGUAAGCAUUUUCAUGUGGGAGAAGAUAUGAAAUUAUAAAAAAAUGGAGGAGUGUACAACAGCGUCACACUGCUGAAGGAAACAAAAGGAGGAGAACUCAAGCAGGUGAAAGAGUAUGUGUGAAGUCUGAUAGAGAAAUAAGCAGAUGUGAAAAACAUUUGACACUCCACAAAUCAGCAUGUCUUACUUUAUCCUCAAGACUUGGAUAAAGUCAGUCUAAAUUUAUAAUACGGAAAAAGAAUACAUGACAUUUCAGAAUUGCUUUUGAAAAUGCUACUUUGAAGGUACUUUUACUACAAGUGCAUUGAAGUGCGCAUAACCCGUGAGUAUAGAGAUAAAGGACGUUUAAAGGUGAGAGAAGAGAAGUCUGACCGAAGAUUUGUAGCGAUGGCGAACAGUUGGACAUUGACGGUGGUCGUCCUCCUGAGUAUCUUUGUGGCAAAAAGUCAGACAAGAGAUUUCCAAGAGCAGACCUUUAUUUCGGGCCGCGAUGUGACUUUACGAUGUGGCAAUCGCACUGUUGUCAAGUGGAAUGAAUUAAUUUAUAUCGUCUGGAACAUUAGCCUGCAAGACAGAAAAUGUCGGCUUGGUUUGUCACCCAAGCUGGACGACACAUGCAAAGAUGGAAAGAAGCUGUACAACACUUCAGAUGGAGUUUCCCUAUUCAUUCCCAAGAUUUCAAUAGAAGAUGAAGGAUCUUACUUUUGUGAUGUAUCAUAUAAAGGAGGAAGCUAUGCACUAAAUGUGACUGUAAGCGUUACCAACGUUUCCACCUGGCUGUACAAAGAAAACAAUCAAAGGAUUGCUGUCUGUAAAUCUACAUAUAAAAUGAAAGCACCCACUCUUCAUUGGGAACCUGCCUUGAACUUUUCCUCCAACAUCAGUUCUGUCAAGAAGCUUGGCAAGUUUUUUAUGCUGGAGAAUCAAGUAUAUCUGCCGGAAAAUCUCAACAUCAGUGAGCUCACUUGUGUGGCCACAUACACCUCUGAGUCCAGCCCUGUGCAGCACAAGAGCACACUUAUUACAGGUUCACAAAACUCAAAUCCCCCAUCUCCUUGGAGAGAUAUUGGCAUAUCAGUUGGCUCUGUUUGUCUUGCUCUUGUAGCCCUGGUCGUGUUUUACAAACUACGCAGAAAGAUUUAUGACUUGAGGUGGGAUCUUUUACUCCCUUGAUUCACCACUGUUGAGCUGAAUUACUUUGCAUAGUAUGAUGAUUAAUUAAUAGACAAAUAUCUUAUUGAAAUCUGUUUGUCUUUGCAUUGUCUUUUUAGUGCAUUGAAGAUGCUUUGCUGCAAAUCCAAAAUCUCAACACCAGCUGAAGACAAACCAACCCCGGUAAGAAGUCUCUAUCAAACCCUUUUUAUCUUCUACACCAUACUCCAUUAUUCACUAUAUAGGGUGUCAUUUUGAAUGAUUCAGUGUGUAUCCAUUGUAAAAGUGUUUUGUAUGGCUCACUGAAGCGUAUGUCUGUGUGUGUUAAGCCCGCUGAUGUUGAAGAGGUGGAACCCUAUGCAAGUUACAUACAGAGAGUCAAUUCUAUCUACAACUCCUCAGCUGAACUCUUCAACGCUUGAGAGACACUCACUUUUCAUGAUGAAACAGGAUACCAGAAGAGAACCGAGGGCAAAGAUAUGCCUGUGGUCAAAAUUACACAUGAAAAACAAUACUAGUGGAAAAUAGUCAUCUCAAGAGAGCAUCCCCAAAGCAAACAGCGCCUGACUGAGGAGCAAAAGUCACACUGAGUCAAAAGAUGAAAGGUGAUGACAAAGAAACAUUUGUCUUAGUAUGUAAUGAGCAAUAACUGGGACAUCUUCAGCGUCAGCGAUAUCACUUAUACUGUAUGUAGAUUUGUAGAGAAAGAACUUGGUUAGAUAUUAAUAAUUUGAACAAAUCAAAUUUGUACAUAUUUAUAUCAGAGUGAAUCAAAAAUCAAAAAGCAGGCCUAAAGUGUAAAGAACCUAUUUUACAUUGCACAUAAUUAAAAGUAUGUAAAUAAACUUAUUGUACUUUUCA
ensembl:lncRNA